CUCGCAUGGGAAAGGUGUAGACAGCUCCAAGCAGAGGAUGUUGUUGUUAAGGGUAAGGUUGUUGGAGCAAACAAAGGUGGAGUUGUGGCUAUGGUCGAAGGCUUAAGAGGUUUUGUUCCUUUCUCGCAGAUAUCAUCGGCUUAACCUCCUAAUGUUCCACACUUAAUUGGCCAUCCUUCUUCCUCAGCAAAGCUCUUAUUUGAAGACCAAAGCUUGGUGGAGGUGUGGGCAGUGGAUUUCUGCUCAUUCUCGCUGGUUAUCUUAGUCUCAAAGCCUUCGAGAAGAGGAGGAACUCAUAUUUUGCUUUGAUUCUUGAGACGGGUGGACAUGGUAACUCCUAUGUGCUCUCAAUUAACAUAUGAGGGGCUUUUAGAUGAGAGAUGUUGCAGAAGAUAUAUUGUCAUGUACUGCAGUUCAAUUAAAGUCGUAUUAAACUGAGGAAUAUUUUCACAUUUAGUAUAUCAUAUAUUUUUAUAUAUAUAUAGAUGUGUAAUAUUUUUUCUGCAAUUACAAACCUACUAAAACUUAUCUUAAAAAUUAUAAAAUUAAUAUUUAAAUUAAAUUUUGCAGCAACAUCGCUUGUUUCUCCAAAAAACAACAGAGAGAUUAUCAGUCAUUAAAUGGAGAAUCCAGUUGUAUGUAGAUGUACAAUCAUUCAAACUACUAAGCCCAUAGAAGAUUAAGAUAACAUUUUAUUAUGCUGAGCGCAAAGUACAAUCAUUUUUUAAAAAUUUUAUUAAAUACGUAGAUGUUUAUAUAGGAAUAAGAUUAAAUCAUCUUCAAUUAUAUUUUCUUAUUAUUAUUGGAGCGCAUCCAUAAGACCACGGAAGUUGCCUCAACUAGAUGUUAGAAUCCUAUACCAAUAGAAGAGAAUGUUUGGGUUUGUGACUUUUUUUGUGCAGUGACAGUGAGCCCAUUUUAGUUCACAUUUACUUACUUCAUUGCAUAUUUGUCUUUGUUCGUGAUAUUAUGUAGAAAAUGUGGUUUAGUUUAGUGGAAAUAAUGAGGC